UGUAGGGGUUUUAUUGCAAAAAACGUCGCUUUAUGACCGUGAAAUUUAUGCCCGUGACCUCUCUCUCUCCCCCCCAAAUCUCAACUCGUGACUUCAAAAUUUUCCCCAAAUCCCCAAAUCCGCUUUCUCCUCCGACGACAUCAGCCCUCCUCCGACGACAUCAGCCCUCCUCCGGCGAGACUCGUUGCCGCCGUUCCCCAAAUCCGCUCACGAGAUCUCGAGCCUUCGCCUGCAACAGAGCCGUCGCUUCCCCAUAUCCGCUCACGAGUUCUCGAGCACUCCUCCAACGACAUCAGCUCACAAAUCUCGAGCCUUCGAAGGAGGAGGUCGACGAGAUCAUCCUUCUGAGCCGCCGCUUUCUCGAACGUCGUGCUGCUGAUCUCGCCAUCAUCACUCUCGUCGUCAUCCUCCCUCGGACUCGUCCUCAUCCUCCCUCGGUCUCGUCGUCAUCACUCUCGUCGUCGUGCUGCUGAUCUCGUCGUCGUGCUGCUGAUCUCGUCGUCGAACUGGUGCUGAUCUCGCCAUCGAGCUGAUCUCGUCGUUGAUCUGGUGCUGAUCUCGUCGUCCUGAGCCAGAGUUCGUGAGCCAGAUCCGCUCAUCCUCCUCCGUCCUCCUCCCUCUGAGCUAUCCUCUCUCAGCCGUGAAUCAUGGAGUCAUCUUCAAGCAAUCGUCAUGGACUGUUGUGCCAUUGUGGAAGGAGGGUUAUACUCUCUAGAUCUGGAACUAAGACGAACCAUGGUCGAUUGUUUUUGGGAUGCGCUAAUUGGAAAGUGAGUAAUUGUGGAUUCUUCAAAUGAGUAUCUGAUGAAGAGGAGAUUGAAGGUUCAAAGACAGGGCUUGUUCAAACAAAGCUGUCGAGCGUGAGGCCGCAAGUUCAAGAGCCGUGUCAAGUGUAGAAUUGCGGGAAAAGAGAAAGAUUGAGAUUGAUAUUAUGGAUUUGUUAAAGCUUGUUGUAUUUGCUCUUUUAUUUGGUAUUUUUCUUGGAUUUGUAUUUGGUAUUUUUAUUGGAUUUGUGCUAAGUAGAGUGUAAGAAUGUAUUAUCCUUCUUUGUGGAAGUGUAUGUUGAUGAGAACUUCUGGUGUUCUGGUUUUGUAUCUUCAGACAAAUUAGAAUAGUAAUUUGUUUUAUAA